ensembl:lncRNA
UAAUUGUGGUUGUGGCCGAGGGGAGGGCCUACUUGUGGGCGUUUCUCUGCCGCUCCCAGGUGCGGUGGGCGUGGCCGCUGGUGCGGUGGGCGGCGCCGGGGGCGGAGCUCCGGCUGUGGCUGCCCCUGACCGACCUGCGCCCCCCCCCCGCCCGCGCCCCCCCGCCCCGGCGCCGCCCCGAGAGCCUCCGGGCGCACCUGGGGAGACCCCGCGGCUGGGCGGGGCCGGGGGGCGGGGCCAUGGCCUGCGAGCACGUGGAAGGUGAGCAGGGGGAGGGGAAUUGCGGGGUCAUGACCCCCCCGUGACCCCCCCAUGACCCCCCCGUGACCCCCCCGUGACCCCUGUGCCCUCAGUGACGUACGAGGCCGAGGACAUGGGGACCCUCCCCUGCCUGAGCGCCGAGCCGGGGCCCGGCCCGGGGGGCCCCCGCAGCGUCCCCACGUGAGCGGGGGGGUCUUUGGGGGUCUUGGGGGGUUUUUAGAGGGGCCUGGGGGUCUUUGGGGGGUUCUUGGGGGGGGCCUGGGGGUCUUUGGGGGGUCUUGGGGGCUUUUUCGGGGGGGCUGGGGGGUCUUUGGGGGCUCUGAAGGGUCCUGGGGGUGUCUGGGUGGUUCCUGGGGGUCUGUGAUAUGUUUUGAGGGGUCCUGGGGGUCACUCAGGAUCCAUUUUUGGGGAGCGCCCCUCCCCCAGGGGCCCGUGGGGGGGAUUUGGGGGUCCCCCCCCCCCCCCUCCGAUGCUGACCCCCCCCCGCCCCUCCCCCCAGGCUGGAGGUGACGGUGACCCCGACCCCCCCGCGGGGCCCCCCCGCGCCCCCCCCGAGCCCCUUCUCGGCCCGGCGCAGCAUCUACGAGAGCCGCGAGGUGGGACCCCCCCCAAAUUCCCUGGGGGGCCGCUGGGGGUCCCCAAAAUUCCCCCUGGGGGUCUCGGGGGGAGUCCCCAAAAUUCCCCCUGGGAGUCUCGGGGGGGUCCCCAAAUCCCCACGGGGGUCUCGGGGUCCCCCCCAGCCCCCGUAGCCGCCGCCCCUCCCCCAGCUGGUGCUGCCCGGGACCCCCGAGGAGUUGGGGGCGUUCGUGGGGGGGGCCCUGGGCGGGGCCCCCUGGAACCUGCAGGUGACACUGCCCCGAGCACACCUGAGCCUGAGCCCGGGGGGGCUCCUGCAGCGCCUCUACAGCAGGAUCAACAACGACCUCCUGCUGUGGGAGCCGGCCGGCCCCGCCCCCUCCGGAGACCACGCCCACUCCGGAGACCACGCCCCUUCAGGGGUCCACCCCCACUCUGGAGACCACGCCCCCUCCAUAGACCACGCCCCACCAGAAGGCCCCGCCCCCUUCAGGCCGUGCCGGUCGGCGCUGGGCUCAGGUGAGACCCCGGGACCCCCAAAAUCGGGGCUGGGCCCUCGGUGUCCCCGGGUGUGCCCUGGGUAUUCCCUGGGUGUCCCCUGGGUGCCCCUGGGUGUCCCCCGGGUGCCCCCUGGGUGUCCCCCUGACCCCCCCGCUGUCCCCAGACUCGGACGAGGACGACGAGGAUGAGGAUGAGGAGGGGGACAAAGGUUCCGGGGGGUCCCCGCAGGACCCCGGGGACCCCCGCGGGCCCCCCCCGAGCGGCGGCGCCAUCCUGGUCACCGUGCCCUGGGGGCGCGUCACGGCCGAGUGUCCCCCCGAGGUGAGGGCAUGGGGGUCCCCAAUGUCACCUGGGGUCACCCGGGGUCACCCUGGGGGUCCCCAAUGUCACCUGGGGUCACCCGGGGUCACCCUUGGGGUCCCCAAUGUCACCCGGGGUCACCCGGGGUCACCCUGGGGGUCCCCAAUGUCACCUGUGUCACCCUGGGGGUCCCCAAAUGUCACCCGGGGUCACCCGGGGUCACCCUGGGGGUCCCAAACAUCACCCAGGGUCACUCUGGGUGUCCCUAACGUCACCUGGGGUCGCCCUGGGGGUCCCAAAUGUCAUCUGUGUAACCCUGGGGGCCAUCAAAUGUCACCUGGGGUCACCCGGGGUCACCCUGGGGGUCGCCAAGAGUGUCCCCAGGGGCUGUGGGGGAGGGGCAGGGUGUGACACGUUUUCGGGGUGUCCCCAGGGGGGGAGGGGCAGGGUGUGACACGUUUUUGGGGCGUCCCCGGGGGGGAGGGGCAGGGUGUGACACAUUUUUGGGGCGUCCCCAGGGGGGGGUCCCCGGCUCGCGGCUGGAGCUGGAGUUGGGGGAGGGGCGGCUCUGCGUCCUCCCCCGCCCGGGGGGGGUCCGGGGCCGGUCCUGGGCCUGCGCCGACGCCCGGAGCUUCGUCCUGCUGCACGGUACCCCAAAAAUUCCCGAAACUGCCCCAAAAUGGCCCUAAAACUGCCCCAAAACCACUCCAAAACCGCCCCAAAAACUGCCCCAAAACUGCCCUUAAAACUGCCCCAAAAACCACCCCAAAAACUGCCUCAAAAACCACCCCAAACACCACCCCAAAAACCACCCCAAAACCACCCCAAAAAACACCCUAAAACUGCCCCAAAACUGCCCCAAAAACUGCCCCAAAACCGCCCCAAAACUGCCCCAAAACCACCCCAAAACCGCCCCAAAAACUGCCCCAAAACUGCCCUUAAAACUGCCCCAAAAACCGCCCCAAAACUGCCCCGAAACUGCCCCAAAACCUGCCCCAAAACCACCCCAAAAACUGCCCCAAAACUGCCCCAAAACCGCCCCAAAAAACACCCCAAAAACUGCCCCAAAACCGCCCCAAACCCGCCCCAAAAACCACCCCAAAACUGCCCCAACCCUGCCCCAAAACCGCCCCAAAACUGCCCCAAAACCGCCCUAAAAACUGCCCCAAAACCGCCCCAAAACCGCCCCAAAACCACCCCAAAAACUGCCCCAAAACCGCUCCAAAACCGCCCCAAAACUGCCCCAAAACAGGAAUAGGGGACCCCAAA